rnacentral:lncRNA from 1 species
UUGCUUAUUUCAAUCAAGAAAAUGUUUGUUUAAUUGAUCCGACUAGUAAUGAAGAAGAUUAUAUGACAUCUCGAUUAUCAAUAGCUUUAAAUAAAAAUGGUAAAUUAAUUAGUAUAUUAAAACCAGGUGGUUUACCUAUAUCUUUUGAAAAUAUGCAACAAACAAUUGAGCUAGCUAAAAAAAGAGUAAAAAGUAUUUUAAAAAUUGUAGAAGAUGCAUUAGAAGAGGAUGGUAAGUUAAGAAACAGUUUAAAAAAAAAGAAUUUACAUAUAAAAUAUUCAUGUGAUCCUGUACAAAUACAAUAUAAUGUUAAUAAUAUUUGUGAAAAUACAUUAGAAAUACCAUUAAACCAAUCGUUAAAAAAUGAAUUAAGUAUUGAACAAGAAAUUAAAAAAUAUGAAAAAUUUAUAUUAUUAAAAGAUGAAACACUUGAAUCGGAUUUAGUAAAAAAGGAAAGUGGUAGUAUGAACGAAAGAGGUAGGAUGAAUGAAAGUGGUAGGAUGAAUGAAAGUGGUAGUAUGAAUAUUGCUACUAUUUAUAAUAGACAAUAUAUGAUAGAAGAAGAAAUAAGAAAAUUAAAAAAUAAAAACAUAAUAGAUUUAACCAAUAAUUAUCCAAAUUAUGAACAAAUCGAUAGUGAUAGUGAUAGUGAUAGUAACACUCAUAAUAAAUGUUAUAAACAAGAAAAUUAUGAUUUAUUAUCGAAUAACAAUAUAGAUGGAUCCAUUAAAAAUGAAAAAAAAUUAGAUAACCUUGCAGAGUCCGUUAAAAUAAAGAGACCAGAAACAGUUUAUAAUAACAAUAAUUUACACAUUACAAAAUACCAAAAAACUAAUGGCAAUCACUUAAACGAAAAAAAAAUAUCCAAAAUGUUGUUAAAUCAAAUACAUUAAAAAAUAAUUAUUUCGAUAUUACUGCAUUAGUUGAAACGAGUAGAAAAAAAAAUACUAUCAGUAAAAAUAUUAAGUCGCAAUCAAAUUUGGGCGGCGCUGACGAUUCGUCGGAUAUUGAUUUUUCUGUUGCUAUUAAUGAAAAUUUA